AGAGGCCUUGCCUCACAAGGGGUGAGAACCUGAGCCCUUCAGGGCCACAGCUCCAACCAAGAAGAUCGUGGAGACACGUGGUGGUGUAGAGAGCAGAUGUCUGGAGCUGCCAGGCCAGGGAUAUGAGAGAAACUCAUCUGUGACACAGCUGGGGGAGCAGCUGGCCUUGAGAGAGCCUUCGCAGCCAUCCACAGGGACACCAAGAAAGUCUUAGCAUAUUUAUCCAUUUUGCUUCUGUAAGAAAUAUAAUUUCCCUUAUCUAUCCAUUAUAAAGGCUCCCAGCAUGCCACACACCCCCUCCUUCCCCAGAAGGCAAGGAAAGAGUCAUGGUUUUCAAAAUUGCUCUUUUUUUUUUUUUAAUUUGCUUUAGGUUCUUGACUCAUCCAAUGCUUUUGAGUGAUGGAUAUUUCAGGGCUGGAAAUAUCCUGUGCUGUGCAACCCGAUAGCUAAAAUUUCCAAGGUUAGGUGAGAGCUGAGAGUGAAAUGAGAAAACCUCCUUUCCCUCUGGUGGAGGAAAAGGUGUGAUGAGCUCUGCAGACAACCCCACUUCUGUUCAUUGCUUUUAGGGGCUCUGGGUCUGAUUUUUUGUGGGCUGAGAGUUGAAAAACUCAGCACAGGUGUGGAAAGAUCAGGAUGCUCCGGUUUCUCCCCUGACUCGCUCCUGCUGACCCAGCCAGGAAGGACACCAAAACCCCAGCUGCGUGGUGAGAACCAGGCACUUUGGUUACAUCUAGAAACUCAUCACACCUUGGGUAACAACCAGGCUGAAACCUCCACGACCCCAUCAGCAAAGGCAGCCGAGGAGGGCACGGAGAGCAGGGCUGACCCCGGAGGAUGAAAAGAGCCCACGGCAGGCAGAAGAGCUGCGGAUGGUGGAAACAUCCCGGCUGAAACCACUCCAGCCCGAUGGGUGUGUUCGGCAGGGCAGGGGAACAAACACAGGAUAUCUGGGAACACGAUCGUGUUCCUCACGGGGCAAGCAAAAAGGGUAUUUUCCCAGGAGGGCUAGCCAAAAACUCAAAGCUCUGUGUGUGCGUGUUUCAAUAUUGUUAUUGUUGGGGAAAAAUAAAGGUGUGGUUUUGCUG